CCGCGGCCAGUUCGCGGGCGAGGGUGCGGACGGUGGCGGCGUCCACGUCGCAGACGGCGGCGACGGCCUCGGGGCUGAACUCCUCGACCGCGGCCC
rnacentral:tRNA from 1 species